GAUGAACGCUAGCGACAGGCCUAACACAUGCAAGUCGAGGGGCAGCACAUGAGUAGCAAUACGAUGGUGGCGACCGGCGCACGGGUGAGUAACACGUAUGCAACCUACCUGUAAACGGGGGAUAGCCUCUCGAAAGAGAGAUUAAUACCGCAUAAUAUAUAGAUACUGCAUGGUAUUUAUAUUAAACAUUUAUGGUUUACAGAUGGGCAUGCGUAUGAUUAGCUAGUUGGUGAGGUAACGGCUCACCAAGGCAACGAUCAUUAGGGGUUCUGGGAGGAAGGUCCCCCACACUGGUACUGAGACACGGACCAGACUCCUACGGGAGGCAGCAGUGAGGAAUAUUGGUCAAUGGGCGAGAGCCUGAACCAGCCAAGUCGCGUGAAGGAAGAAGGUGCUAUGCAUUGUAAACUUCUUUUGUAAGGGAAUAAAAAGUAGUACGUGUACUAUAUUGUAUGUACUUUACGAAUAAGGAUCGGCUAACUCCGUGCCAGCCGCCGCCGUAAAAC
rnacentral:rRNA from 1 species